UACAGAGGGUGCGAGCGUUAAUCGGAAUUACUGGGCGUAAAGCGCGCGUAGGCGGCUUUGCAAGUCGGGUGUGAAAUCCCCAGGCUUAACCUGGGAACUGCAUUCGAGACUGCAUUGCUAGAGUAUGGGAGAGGGAAGUGGAAUUUCCGGUGUAGCGGUGAAAUGCGUAGAUAUCCGGAGGAACACCGGUGGCGAAGGCGGCUUCCUGGACCGACACUGACGCUGAGGCGCGAAAGCUAGGGGAGCAAACGGG
rnacentral:rRNA from 1 species